rnacentral:lncRNA from 1 species
GCGCAUGCGCGGUGCCUAGGAUUGUGAUGUUUCGGGAGCCCGGCGGUGUGGCCGAGCUUCCCCACCCUCAACCCGGAGACCCCUUUAUUUUUGUACAUGGGCGGGCGCUUUAUGGGGUCCCCGAAACUCCUGUCUAGCUCUGCAGCACUAAGCCAGGCGUGGGGGCCCCACGGGCUUCGCGCUCGCUCUGGGGGGGGGGGGGGGGCCGCACCCGGGUCUUUCCCUCGGACCGACGUACGCCCGGCUUUUCCACCUCGGGACGAGGCCCUCAGAACAAUGCUCGUCUCCACGCUCGGAGCAGUUCGAUAGGCAAGCGAGUCGGGUCGGGAGGAGCAGGGCUCUCCAAGGUGGCCUCCCUCGCUGUCUCCUAACGCGGGCCGGCCGCCAAGCUUACUCGCUCAGUUUCUCCGGCAUUACAACCUCUAUCAUCAUCUGGAUCCAGAGGCCUAUGCCCAGCGCCAUCCAGCCACUUCACUAAUGAGCAAGUCCGAUACACUUUGGGACAUCUUUCACUUUGAAAACUCCAUGGUAGAAAAUUUAGAAAGAUGGUGCCCAAGCCAAAGAAGGAAACUAUUGUUCCCCUCUCCCCCAAGACAGAAGCCAAGUCCAAGACCUUGAAAGCCAGGAAGGUGGUGUUGAAAGGUGUCCAUAGUCACAAAAAGAAGAUCCAAACAUGCUCCAUAUUCUGGAGAUCCAAGACACUAAGAUUUCCAAGGCAGCCCAAAUGCCCUCAGAAAAGUCCCCCUUGACAAAACAAGCUUGAUCAGUAUGAAAUCAUUGUUUCCCUUGACCACUGAGUCUCCCAUGAAGAAGACUGAAAACAAUAUCACCCUCAUCUUCAUUGUGGACAUCAAGUCCAACAAAUAUCAGAUCCAGCAGACAGUUAAAAACCUGUACAACAUUGAUGUGGCCAAGGUCAAUACGCUGAUCUGUCCUGUUGGAGAGAAGAAGGCUUACAUCCACCUAUGAUGCUGGGUUCACAAAAUUGGAGUCAUCUAAACUGUGUCCACUUCUUCCACUUCACCUACAUAAAAAGUUUUCCAUUAUAAAUUUUAAAAAUAAAUAAAAUGUGUAUUACCAUUG